GAGUUUCUUAGGACUAUAUCAGAACAACUCAGUAACUCUACAAGUCUGUCACCAGAUCAACAUUUAGCAUUUGAGGAGGGUACACAAGGAGUUGUGAGGAGACACAGCCACAACAGCUGAUGCCAACUGACCAAAGGGACCCCAGACCAUGUGGUGUCAUGCUCAGCAUAUAAAGCUGGGGCAAGAAGAAGGAAGAGGGUUGUGUUUGGAGUGAUGGCAUUUGUCUUCCCCAGUCACCCAUGAUGGAGCCCUGCUUUCCUUGAGAUGGCUGAACACCUGCCUGCCCGUUGGAAGUGUGAUUGUCUCUCCCAUCCCACCGGAGGUCAAGGGAGUGAGCUUUGUGGUACUUAGUUGAUGGCUGGGCUUAAACCACAACAUGGAGUGACACCCCUGUAUCGCCUCAGCAUCUACUGACAGACCACAAAUACCCUCACAACACUGUAUUAGCCUCCCCAGGGCUGGCUCCAGCAGACUGGCAGGAUGUUUUCAGGAAACAGUGAAUGUUCUGCUGCCACUAGAUAAGGGUGAGUACAACAGCAGACUCUCUUUUCAAGCCAGAGCCCCAGCCAACAUUUGUAGAAAGGCAUCCACUGCUCACUAGCAGCCCUGUCCAUGAUUCAGUUAUCUGUGUAGUCCCUUAAAAGGUGGGGGGACUCACUCCCAAUGGGCUCAGCUUCCCACCUGGUAUGGAAACAGUGCAUUUUCCAACUGUGAGAAGAGCACAUAUUCAAGGUUUAUCUGGCACAUAGGACAUCACCUUUGAACUGAAUUACAGCUCAGGCCUCCAGCAGGGACUUGACAAAGAAGCAAAACCUGGACUGAUGGUGGCUUUUAUCCUCUUAUUUCCUCCCCCUUAUUGUAGUA